rnacentral:rRNA from 1 species
UACAGAGGGUGCAAGCGUUAAUCGGAAUUACUGGGCGUAAAGCGUGCGUAGACGGUUAUGUAAGUCGGGUGUGAAAGCCCCGGGCUCAACCUGGGAAUUGCAUUCGAGACUGUGUAGCUAGGGUACGGAAGAGGGAAGCGGAAUUUCAGGUGUAGCGGUGAAAUGCGUAGAUAUCUGAAGGAACACCGAUGGCGAAGGCGGCGACCUGGAUAGAUACUGACGCUGAAGUGCGAAAGCGUGGGGAGCAAACAAG